UUUGUACAGACUUUGAAAAAUGU
rnacentral:piRNA from 1 species